UGCUUUUAAUCAAUUUUCGAAUCGCAUGGCCUGUUGUUGGCGAUGUUUCAUUCAAAUUUCUGCCCUAUCAACUUUCGAUGGUAGGAUCAGAGGCUACCAUGGUUUUAACGGGUAACGGGGAAUUACGGGUUCGACUUCCGGAGAGGGAGCCUGAGAAACGGCUACCACAUCCAAGGAAGGCAGCAGGCGCGCAAAAUUACCCAAUCCCGACACGGGGAGGUAGUGACAAUAAAUAACAAUAUAGGGCUCUUUUGGGUCUUAGUAAUUGGAAUGAGUACAAUUUAAAUCCCUUAACGAGGAACAAUUGGAGGGCAAGUCUAGGUGCCAGCAGCGCGGUAAUUCCAGCUCCAAUAGCGUAUAUUAAAGUUGUAUGCAGUUAAAAAGCUCGUAGUUGAACUUCAGACCUGGACGGACGAUCUGACAUCAAGGUAUGUACUGUCUUGGCUGAGGCUUGCA
rnacentral:rRNA from 1 species